ensembl:lncRNA
GGACAUACUCAUUUACUAUGGAACUAUCUGACUGUGUAUAUGUGUGGGUGUCUGCGUGCGUCCGUCUGUGCUUGUGCGUGUGUGUCUGGUGUGUGUGUGUCCGGUGUGUGUCCGGUGUGUGUGUGUGUCCGGUGCGUGUGUGUGUCCGGUGUGUGUGUGUGUCUGGUGUGUGUGUCUGGUGUGUGUGUGUCCGGUGUGUGUGUGUGUCUGUGUGUGUGUGUCCGGUGUGUGUGUGUGUCUGGUGUGUGUGUGUCCGGUGUGUGUGUGUGUCUGGUGUGUGUGUGUCCGUGUGUGUGUGUCUGGUGUGUGUGUGUCUGAUGCGUGUGUGUCCAGUGAGUGUGUGUGUCCGGUGUGUGUGUGUCCGGUGUGUGUGUUUGUCCGGUGUGUGUGUGUCCCCGGUGUGUGAGUGUCCGGUGAAUGUGUGUGUCCGGUGUGUGUGUGUGUCCGGUGCGUGUGUGUCCAGUGAGUGUGUGUGUCCGGUGUGUGUGUGUCCGGUGUGUGUGUGUGUGUGGUGUGUGUCCCCUGUGUGUGUGUCUGGUGUGUGUGUGUGUGUGUGUCCGGUGUGUGUGUGUCCGGUGUGUGUGUGUCCAGUGUGUGUGUGUGUGUGUGUGUGUCCGGUGUGUGUGUGUCCGGUGUGUGUGUGCCCGGUGUGUGUGUGUCUCCGGUGUGUGUGUGUCCGGUGUGUGUGUGCCCGGUGUGUGUGUCCUGUGUGUGUGUGUCCGGUGUGUGUGUGUGUGUGUCCGUGUGUGUGUGCCCGGUGUGUGUGAGCCCGGUGUGUGUGUGUGUCCUGUGUGUGUGUGCCCGGUGUGUGUCCUGUGUGUGUGUGUCCGGUGUGUGUGUGUCCCGAGCCAAUUCCAACAUUUGGAAGCAUUCUUCCAGUCUCCGUCACCUUAAUCUGGAGCUGGAAGCUCAAUCUGCUAUGACAGCGUCUCUGCAUCACAAUACAUUCCAGCAGGUCUCCCCAGUCACAUGGAUCAUUUCAUCCUGACACAGAAGGACAAAUAAAUGCUUUUUAAAUUUUUUUUAUUUUUUACAGGCUCUUUAUUUGCACGUUAGAAAUAAAUCCUUUUUCAUUUGCGCCUUAGAAGUAUAAACACUUCUUUAAAGAUGCACAUGUUAAAACAUGUUACUGUCUUAACCUUGCCAGACAAUUAUCAGUUCCAUUGUAACAGAGAGUUGCGUGACCGAGAGCUCAGGGAAAUCGGUGAACUCUGCUGAUGUGUUGAUUUGCGAUAUCGCGAUCGACGGACAACAUCUGUACCCAAUGUCAUUAAAUUCACAAUUUAUUCAUAUUGAAAAUCAUACGGAAGAGAUCCAGAAUAUAUUCAAAUCAAAUCAAAUCAAAUCAAAUCGGUAUUAUCUGGAGAUUUUCCUUUGAAAGACUUUGAAGUAACUGUGACAACAGUUUGACAACUGUCUGUUGUAUCUUCUUUCAGCUCACCAACCGUACAUCCAUUCCAAUGACUAAUUAGACGAGAUGAUUUCAGACCUCAUUGUGCUGAUGAA